UACGAAGGGGGCUAGCGUUGCUCGGAAUCACUGGGCGUAAAGCGCACGUAGGCGGCUUUGCAAGUUAGAGGUGAAAGCCCGGGGCUCAACUCCGGAAUUGCCUUUAAAACUGCAUCGCUAGAAUUGUGGAGAGGUAAGUGGAAUUCCGAGUGUAGAGGUGAAAUUCGUAGAUAUUCGGAAGAACACCAGUGGCGAAGGCGACUUACUGGACACAUAUUGACGCUGAGGUGCGAAAGCGUGGGGAGGCAAACAGG
rnacentral:rRNA from 1 species